UCCUGUGAAAACAAAUUUAUU
rnacentral:piRNA from 1 species